AUGAAAACACUGCGACCUCACUACAAAGGCACAGGCACACAGAAAUGGUGCUGCACUGAUGUCGGUGUUGGGACCUCAGCUGUAAGAGGCCUCGCUUGGAGGAGGGAGAGGACAACUCAAGUUGUUCAAGUUUGGACUUCGGAGAGCCACAGGAUGCUACCUAUGAUCCUGAUGACUUGAUCACAGUCUUGACUGAGUCAGCAGAUGUGACAAUGGAAUCUUCCAACCCUGUUCAUAAGACACCCACAUAUAUUGUCUAUGAAAACUGCCCCCUGGAGCUGUUUGUGGCGUUUCCUGUGUGUCGGCGGGGGACAGAUGUAAUAUAUAAGAAGGGCGAGUGCACAGCAAAGCCGGUGAAAGCAGAUGCAGCCAUCCGUGAUUCUCACAGGCUCUAUUUAAAAUCCAAAUAAUGUACACAUAGUAUGUGAAACAUAAAUAACAUAUCAAUUAACUGCUGUCUUUAGAUGGUCUUCAAUAUUUAAAGACCAUUUAUUUAUCGUCUUCACGAUAAAUAGAAUAAUAUCAUUAUAAAAAGAAAAUAAUAAAUACAAAAAAGUGCAAAAUGUCCAACUUUUUCCCCCAAUUUGUUUUACAGAUUACUAGUGAGGGCAACAUAUGAAAAUCUGGGAACUAAAUCCUUACCAAGAAAUUUCUUAACAAUUGUGUUUAGGAAGGUGUGUAAUAUAAUGUCUUAAAAUGUUGAAAUUCAACUCCCGUGGGAAACCUCCUAAAAAAUUGCACAAAGUUGGGGUACCUGUAACCGAUUUUUGAAAAAUCGAAAACGUUAAAUUUGGCUUUAAGUAACUUGUGAGGGGUCAA